AGUGAACGCUGGCGGCGUGCUUAACACAUGCAAGUCGAACGAGAACGGAAUAUAGCUUGCUAUAUUUGUCAGCUAAGUGACGCACGGGUGAGUAAUGUAUAGAUAACCUGCCCUUAAGAAAGGAAUAACAGUUGGAAACGACUGCUAAUGCCCUAUAUGCCUUUAAUACAUAAGUAUGAAAGGGAAACGCUUUAGUGCUUAAGGAUAGGUCUGUAUGGUAUCAGCUUGUUGGUGAGGUAAUGGCUCACCAAGGCUAUGACGCCUAACUGGUUUGAGAGGAUGAUCAGUCACACUGGAACUGAGACACGGUCCAGACUCCUACGGGAGGCAGCAGUGGGGAAUAUUGCACAAUGGACGAAAGUCUGAUGCAGCAACGCCGCGUGGAGGAUGACACAUUUCGGUGCGUAAACUCCUUUUAUAUAGGAAGAUAAUGACGGUACUAUAUGAAUAAGCACCGGCUAACUCCGUGCCAGCCGCCGCGGUAA
rnacentral:rRNA from 1 species